AUUGAACGCUGGCGGCAUGCCUUACACAUGCAAGUCGAACGGUAACAGGUCUUCGGAUGCUGACGAGUGGCGAACGGGUGAGUAAUACAUCGGAACGUGCCUAGUAGUGGGGGAUAACUACUCGAAAGAGUGGCUAAUACCGCAUGAGAUCUACGGAUGAAAGCAGGGGAUCGCAAGACCUUGUGCUACUAGAGCGGCCGAUGGCAGAUUAGGUAGUUGGUGGGAUAAAAGCUUACCAAGCCGACGAUCUGUAGCUGGUCUGAGAGGACGAUCAGCCACACUGGGACUGAGACACGGCCCAGACUCCUACGGGAGGCAGCAGUGGGGAAUUUUGGACAAUGGGCGCGAGCCUGAUCCAGCAAUGCCGCGUGCAGGAUGAUGGCCUUCGGGUUGUAAACUGCUUUUGUACGGAACGAAAAGCCCUGGGUUAAUACCCUGGGGUCAUGACGGUACCGUAAGAAUAAGCACCGGCUAACUACGUGCCAGCCGCCGCAGUAA
rnacentral:rRNA from 1 species